CGUAGGGACCGAGCGUUGUCCGGAAUCAUUGGGCGUAAAGAGCGUGUAGGCGGCCUGUUAAGUCUUGCGUGAAAUCUCGGGGCUCAACCCCGAGCGGUCGUGAGAAACUGGCGGGCUAGAGUGCGGGAGAGGAGAGUGGAAUUCCUGGUGUAGCGGUGAAAUGCGCAGAUAUCAGGAAGAACACCCGUGGCGAAGGCGGCUCUCUGGAACGCAACUGACGCUGAGACGCGAAAGCGUGGGGAGCAAACAGGAUUAGAUACCCUGGUAGUCCACGCCGUAAACGAUGGACGCUAGGUGUGGGCGGUGUCGACUCCGUCCGUGCCGAAGCUAACGCAUUAAGCGUCCCGCCUGGGGAGUACGGCCGCAAGGCUA
rnacentral:rRNA from 1 species